ensembl:lncRNA
CGGUUUUGCUUUUAUUUCCUCCUACGGUAAGUUAAUUUAUUAAUUAACUUAUUAUUAAUUUAUUUGAUCUUCUCAGGGGUCUGACUUAUGUACAGACGCCAGCGUAUGAGCCCUGCCACCUGUUAUCAGCUACAGUGAACGCGUGUUUUAUUGGUGGGCGGGGUUUGGACACCGUGACACCGUGAGAGGCUGGAAGUUCAAUAAAAACACCUUCGCAGCUCCGGGGAAGAGCAAAGUGGACACCAGCUCAGCUGAAACAUGCGGCUAUCUUUGGCAGCUUCUUUAUUUUUCUCUCUGGGAUUAAUACAUCCGGUGUGGACGUCGUUUUCUGUCCCUCCAGAGGACUUGGAGGGAUCAGGUUAUGACCUGGAUGGUUCUGGUUCCGGUUCUGGAGAUGGAGAUGGGUCAGAGCAGGGUGUAACUGAAGAUCAGCACAACAGCAAAGACGGCAGAAUUCUGAAACCAGAAACCAGAGACGAGACCAAGAUUACUUUCCAUGGCUUUUCAGACAAGACGUUUGGUAACACGCACAGGUCUGCAGCAGACGAUGACUCUGGAUAUGUUAUUAUAGCAAACAGCAGGAGCUACUUUGAGAAUAGUGAAUUCCUUGCAGGUGUUAUUGCAGGGGGAGUAACUGGAUUGGCUCUUGCAGCAACUGUGGCAGCAAUAUUAAUCUACAAAUGGCAGAAGAAAGAGGAGGAGGACCGCUACAGUCUGGGCCCAGAGAAGGCUUUAGAUCAUUAUUAUCAGAAACCAAACAGGGAAAAAGUAUUCCUUGUUUAACCACACCUACAUCUGAUAACUGUAAAGCCGUUGUUUGAUAAGUUGAUGCUACUGGCCAAUUUAUGUACCUCAAAAUCUACUGUAAAUGCAUACUUUACUCGUGGUCUCUGGAAGGAAGGUGGGGUUCAUAUUUCUUAUGCACUUAAAGUGAAAUAUGUCUAUUGUUGUUGAAUGUAUUUAUAUUUAAGAUAAAACAUGAAGGAUUUUUUAAAUCGAUGAUCUUCCAGGUGUCCGUCUUUUAAAAAUAAUUGUGAUUCCUUCAUCGUACACUGAGUAGCUGUAGCACUGGGGUCGUAUCCUCUGAGUUUUGGGUGAUGUGGGAUUUUGUUACGAUGUGUAAUUUUAAUUGCCUUCAGUGUGUUUGGUUGAAUGAAGGUAAAGCAAAGAUGCACAAUUUAAUAUGUAAUUAGUUAUCAUUAUAUGAAAGUUUCUGUUUAAUUGUUUUGAAGAGGUAGCUUAUUGUAGCAUUUAUAUUUGCCUUUAAACGGGCAAAAAAAAUAUCUACUGCACUUCUAAAGAAAAUGGAGUGAAACAGGCCUGUCCACCAGACAUUUUGACAAAUCACAAUGUAAUAAUAAAACACAAAAAAGCAGGCGAAUUAACUUUUUUUUGUAGAAACUUGGCUACUCUGUCAUGUUUUACAGGGACGGGUGAAUAAAUGAGAACCAUUGUUAAGUUGCCAGAGAGUGAUAAUCAAAAUUUCUGUAAUGUGGGGACCAUUGAUAAGCAGGAAAAUCUGUGUCAUUCACCAUUACUUUAAGCUAUGUGACCCAUGUGAUAUGAGAUAUGAAUUGAAGGGGCAGCUCAUUUAAGAGUGCAUAACACCGCUAUAGCUGCUGUAAUGCAACAUGUUUUAUGUUGCGUAUAUGUAUGUCUAUUUUUUUAUGUAAUAAUCAAUAAUAAAACAACUUUGUAACAAUUAAAAUCUGAUUUUUUUUUAUGUGCAUAGGUGGUUUCUUUGAACCACAGAGUUUGCUUAUAUGUGCAUAUGACUGAGAGUUUGUGCAUUUUAUUGCAUGGCACGUGUUACUACUCAAAGAUGAUCAGAACUGCAGAGCCUUGAUUAAGUAGAAGGUUGUUUUAUACACUGCAUCCUGUAGGCUCAAUACAAACUGAAAGGCUUUAAAUUAUAAUACCCAAAUAAAUAUCAUCUGUAAGAUAUUUUGUGUUAGUGAGCUUCAUUAUUUUCAAUAGUAUUAUUAUUUUUUAUUAUUAUUACCUGAGAUAUAAGAGCGACAGUGACAGUAGUGUGGUGUGCAGUAGUAGUGAUUUAAUUUACAACGGAGAUGGACAGACUGUGGACUAUGAUGUUUGCAGAUGACAGAGACCAGGUAAA